GGAAGGAUCAUUACAUGCCGCGCUCUGCGCGGACUCUGGGGGCGGCUUGCUCCGCACCCAGGGCAUUUACCCUUUGUCUACGAAUACCCACCGUUUCCUCGGCAGGCCUGCCUGCCAACGGGGACCUCAUUCAAACCUUUUUGCAUUUAGAAGUCGUGUCUGAAUGGUAUCAAUCAUUUACAACUUUCAACAAUGGAUCUCUUGGCUCUGGCAUCGAUGAAGAACGCAGCGAAAUGCGAUAAGUAGUGUGAAUUGCAGAAUUCAGUGAAUCAUCGAAUCUUUGAACGCACAUUGCGCCCCUUGGUAUUCCAUGGGGCAUGCCUGUUCGAGCGUCAUCUCAAACCUCAAGCAUGGCUUGGUGUUGGGCGCCUGUCCCGCCGCUUCGCGCGCGGACUCGCCUCAAAGUCAUUGGCGGCCGGCGUUCUCGACAUUCCGCACGCAGCAGACUGCGCGAUGCGAACUCGGGGAGCCUGGCGUCCAAGAAGCUUUUUCUUCCAAGUUUGACCUCGGAUCAGGUAGGGAUACCCGCUGAACUUAAGCAUAUCAAUAAGCGGAGGAAAAGAAACCAACAGGGAUUGCCUCAGUAACGGCGAGUGAAGCGGCAACAGCUCAAAUUUGAAAUCUGGCUCCCUCGGGGGUCCGAGUUGUAAUUUGCAGAGGGUGCUUUGGCGUCGAGCGCGGUCUAAGUUCCUUGGAACAGGACGUCACAGAGGGUGAGAAUCCCGUAUGUGGUCGCCGAUCUUCGCCAUGUAAAGCCCCUUCGACGAGUCGAGUUGUUUGGGAAUGCAGCUCUAAAUGGGAGGUAAAUUUCUUCUAAAGCUAAAUACUGGCCAGAGACCGAUAGCGCACAAGUAGAGUGAUCGAAAGAUGAAAAGCACUUUGGAAAGAGAGUCAAAAAGCACGUGAAAUUGUUGAAAGGGAAGCGCUUGCAGCCAGACUUGCCUGCGGUUGCUCAUCCGGGCUCUUGCCCGGUGCACUCUUCCGUAGGCAGGCCAGCAUCAGUUUGGGCGGCCGGACAAAGGCCUCUUACACGUACCUCCCUUCGGGGAGGACUUAUAGGAGAGGCGACAUGCGGCCAGCCUGGACUGAGGUCCGCGCUCCGGCUAGGAUGCUGGCGUAAUGGCUGUAAGCGGCCCGUCUUGAAACACGGACCAAGGAGUCUAACAUCUAUGCGAGUGUUUGGGUGUCAAGCCCGGGCGCGCAAUGAAAGUGAACGGAGGUGGGAACCCUUCGGGGUGCACCAUCGACCGAUCCUGAUGUCUUCGGAUGGAUUUGAGUAAGAGCAUAGCUGUUGGGACCCGAAAGAUGGUGAACUAUGCUUGAAUAGGGUGAAGCCAGAGGAAACUCUGGUGGAGGCUCGCAGCGGUUCUGACGUGCAAAUCGAUCGUCAAAUUUGGGCAUAGGGGCGAAAGACUAAUCGAACUAUCUAGUAGCUGGUUCCUGC
rnacentral:misc_RNA from 1 species